CUGCCAUAUCAAGUUGCAACACUGGUUCUCGUACGUUGACCAAAGUUAAGCAACGUCAAGCCUGGUCAGUACUUAGAUGGGUAACCACUUGGGAAUACCAUGUGCU